rnacentral:tRNA from 1 species
GCCUUCGUGGUGUAACGGUCACCACAUUUGGCAUGUAUUUGAGAGGUCCGAGUUCGAGUCCCGGUGAAGGUA